rnacentral:tRNA from 1 species
GUUCCUGUAGUUGAAUUACUGCAACGGCGGCUUUUCAGGCCGCAGAUCUUGGAGAGAGGCCAAGUAGGAAUUA